GGAUGCGAUCAUACCAGCACUAAAGCACCGGAUCCCAUCAGAACUCCGAAGUUAAGCGUGCUUGGGCUUAGUAGUACUAGGUGGGUGACCUCCUGGGAAGUCCUCAUGUUGCAUUCC
rnacentral:rRNA from 1 species